ACCCAACAAUGUAAUUACUCAACUUACAUACACCAACACAAUGUAAAAGUACACCUCCAAUUACAUUGCACAACUCCAACAACAAUUGCAUUAUCAAGUAAUUACGUCCACACAAAUCAACAUAGCACAUAUCAAUCAAGUGUCAUCACAACAACCACAAUAAUCAUCAAUAUCAUUUCAACAUCUUCAACAUUAUGUAAUCACAUCAUUACAAUAUUUCUCACAUACCAAGUAAGAAAACAUACAACAUCUCGUAAUUCAUUCAUACAUCUCCAUUUAGUCAUACAAAACUAAACAAGAAAGAUUCGUAAGGUGAUUGGCUUAAAAGGAUAUUUUCAUCAAUGUUCGUCUCUCUUGACAUUUUCCAAGAAUUCCCAUUUUCAAAACCCAAACCAAUUAAGACUCAAGGAAACCAAUCACAACCAUUUUCAAUAAUCAUAUAAUCAUUGUACUAUCUUAAUCUCAUUUUAUUUCCUUGAAGAUCCAAUUUUCGGAAAAUUCAACGUUCUUGGACAAUUUUCAAAGUUUGAUUCAAUUUCACAAAACAAGUCCAAAUCUCAUUCAAGGAGAUGUUCCAGUAGGAUUAAUUGUACAAACAGUGAUUAUACAAGUUAAAAGAAGUGUUUAAAG
rnacentral:lncRNA from 1 species